UACGUAGGGGGCAAGCGUUGUCCGGAUUUAUUGGGCGUAAAGAGCGUGUAGGCGGCUUGGUAGGUCCGCUGUGAAAACUCGAGGCUCAACCUCGAGAUGUCGGCGGAAACCACUUGGCUAGAGUCCGGAAGAGGAGAGUGGAAUUCCUGGUGUAGCGGUGAAAUGCGCAGAUAUCAGGAAGACCACCUAUGGCGAAGGCAGCUCUCUGGGACGGUACUGACGCUGAGACGCGAAAGCGUGGGGAGCGAACAGG
rnacentral:rRNA from 1 species